rnacentral:rRNA from 1 species
UACGGGGGGGGCAAGCGUUGUUCGGAAUUACUGGGCGUAAAGGGCUCGUAGGUGGCCAACUAAGUCAGACGUGAAAUCCCUCGGCUUAACCGGGGAACUGCGUCUGAUACUGGAUGGCUUGAGUUCGGGAGAGGGAUGCGGAAUUCCAGGUGUAGCGGUGAAAUGCGUAGAUAUCUGGAGGAACACCGGUGGCGAAGGCGGCAUCCUGGACCGAUACUGACACUGAGGAGCGGAAGCCAGGGGAGCAAACGGG